rnacentral:rRNA from 1 species
GAUAGUGAACCAGUACCGUGAGGGAAAGGCGAAAAGAACCCCGGCGAGGGGAGUGAAAAAGAACCUGAAACCGUGUACGUACAAGCAGUGGGAGCCUCUUUUAUGGGGUGACUGCGUACCUUUUGUAUAAUGGGUCAGCGACUUAUAUUCUGUAGCAAGGUUAACCGAAUAGGGGAGCCGAAGGGAAACCGAGUCUUAACUGGGCGUUAAGUUGCAGGGUAUAGACCCGAAACCCGGUGAUCUAGCCAUGGGCAGGUUGAAGGUUGGGUAACACUAACUGGAGGACCGAACCGACUAAUGUUGAAAAAUUAGCGGAUGACUUGUGGCUGGGGGUGAAAGGCCAAUCAAACCGGGAGAUAGCUGGUUCUCCCCGAAAGCUAUUUAGGUAGCGCCUCGUGAAUUCAUCUCCGGGGGUAGAGCACUGUUUCGGCAAGGGGGUCAUCCCGACUUACCAACCCGAUGCAAACUGCGAAUACCGGAGAAUGUUAUCACGGGAGACACACGGCGGGUGCUAACGUCCGUCGUGAAGAGGGAAACAACCCAGACCGCCAGCUAAGGUCCCAAAGUCAUGGUUAAGUGGGAAACGAUGUGGGAAGGCCCAGACAGCCAGGAUGUUGGCUUAGAAGCAGCCAUCAUUUAAAGAAAGCGUAAUAGCUCACUGGUCGAGUCGGCCUGCGCGGAAGAUGUAACGGGGCUAAACCAUGCACCGAAGCUGCGGCAGCGACGCUUAUGCGUUGUUGGGUAGGGGAGCGUUCUGUAAGCCUGUGAAGGUGUACUGUGAGGUAUGCUGGAGGUAUCAGAAGUGCGAAUGCUGACAUAAGUAACGAUAAAGCGGGUGAAAAGCCCGCUCGCCGGAAGACCAAGGGUUCCUGUCCAACGUUAAUCGGGGCAGGGUGAGUCGACCCCUAAGGCGAGGCCGAAAGGCGUAGUCGAUGGGAAACAGGUUAAUAUUCCUGUACUUGGUGUUACUGCGAAGGGGGGACGGAGAAGGCUAUGUUGGCCGGGCGACGGUUGUCCCGGUUUAAGCGUGUAGGCUGGUUUUCCAGGCAAAUCCGGAAAAUCAAGGCUGAGGCGUGAUGACGAGGCACUACGGUGCUGAAGC